CAGGAUGAACGCUGGCGGCGUGCUUAACACAUGCAAGUCGAACGAGGGUUGCUGGUUGAAGUUUCGGAUGGAAACCGGUAAUUCCUAGUGGCGGACGGGUGAGUAACGCGUGGGGAACCUGCCCCGCUCCGGGGGAUACCAGCUGGAAACGGCUGUUAAUACCGCAUAAGCGCACAGCAUUGCAUGAUGCAGUGUGAAAAACUCCGGUGGAACGGGAUGGCCCCGCGUCUGAUUAGCCAGUUGGCAGGGUAACGGCCUACCAAAGCGACGAUCAGUAGCCGGCCUGAGAGGGCGACCGGCCACAUUGGGACUGAGACACGGCCCAAACUCCUACGGGAGGCAGCAGUGGGGAAUAUUGCACAAUGGGGGAAACCCUGAUGCAGCGACGCCGCGUGAGUGAGGAAGUAUUUCGGUAUGUAAAGCUCUAUCAGCAGGGAAGAAGAUGACGGUACCUGCACAAGAAGCCCCGGCUAACUACGUGCCAGCCGCCGC
rnacentral:rRNA from 1 species